rnacentral:rRNA from 1 species
UACGUAGGGACCGAGCGUUGUCCGGAAUCAUUGGGCGUAAAGGGCGUGUAGGCGGCUCGCUAAGUCUUGCGUGAAAUCUCGGGGCUCAACCCCGAGCGGUCGUGAGAAACUGGCGGGCUAGAGUGCGGGAGAGGAGAGUGGAAUUCCUGGUGUAGCGGUGAAAUGCGCAGAUAUCAGGAAGAACACCCGUGGCGAAGGCGGCUCUCUGGACCGCAACUGACGCUGAGACGCGAAAGCGUGGGGAGCAAACAGG